GACGAACGCUGGCGGCGUGCUUAACACAUGCAAGUCGAACGAAAAUACCAAGCUUGCUUGGUUGAUUAGUGGCGAACGGGUGAGUAACACGUGAGUAACCUGCCCCUUACUUUCUGGAUAACUGCUCGAAAGGGUAGCUAAUACGGGAUAUUCUGGCCUUCCUGCAUGGGUUGGUUUGGAAAGGUUGUUUUUUCUGGUGAGGGAUGGGCUCGCGGCCUAUCAGCUUGUUGGUGGGGUGAUGGCCUACCAAGGCUUUGACGGGUAGCCGGCCUGAGAGGGUGGACGGUCACACUGGGACUGAGAUACGGCCCAGACUCCUACGGGAGGCAGCAGUGGGGAAUAUUGCACAAUGGGCGCAAGCCUGAUGCAGCGACGCCGCGUGAGGGAUGAAGGCCUUCGGGUUGUAAACCUCUUUCGUCAGGGAACAAGGCACUGUCUUUUUGGUGGUGUUGAGGGUACCUGGAUAAGAAGCGCCGGCUAACUACGUGCCAGCAGCCGCGGUAAUACGUAGGGCGCAAGCGUUGUCCGGAAUUAUUGGGCGUAAAGAGCUCGUAGGCGGCUGGUCGCGUCUGUCGUGAAAACUUCCGGCUCAACCGAGGGCUUGCGGUGGGUACGGGCCGGCUAGAGUGCGGUAGGGGUAACUGGAACUCCUGGUGUAGCGGUGGAAUGCGCAGAUAUCAGGAAGAACACCGAUGGCGAAGGCAGGUUACUGGGCCGUUACUGACGCUGAGGAGCGAAAGCGUGGGGAGCGAACAGG
rnacentral:rRNA from 1 species